CUUUUUAUCUUACUUGGUUUGUUUUCUGCUUUGCUUUCCUCCUAGAUGUGGUUCUCACUUAAAGAAAAUAUGGCAUAUAAAAAUAUGAACUUAUAAGACAAACAAAUUAGGGGCUAAUUUCACACAUAACCAACCAUCUGAUUUUUUAAAAUACCAAAAGAGUGACUGAAGAUCUUACCUAGAAAGGUCUCUUCAUCUUCCUGAUAUAUGGGGUGUACAACACAGAGGGCGGCUCAACUCCGAGUGCGAGCGGUUUCCUUUUUGAGUAGCCUUCAGGUAGGUU